rnacentral:rRNA from 1 species
GGGUCCGUAGGUUGGUCGUGCCACCGGUACGUACUGGUCUCACUGAUUCCUCCUUCCUGAAGAACCGUAAUGCCAUUAAUUUGGUGUUGCGGGGAAACAGGACUGUUACUUUGAAAAAAUUAGGGUGUUUAAAGCAAGCUAACGCUUGAAUACAUUAGCAUGGAAUAAUGAAAUAGGACGAUCGAUCCUAUUUUGUUGGUUUCUAGGAUUGACGUA